CCAAUAGCGUAUAUUAAAGUUGUUGCAGUUAAAAAGCUCGUAGUUGAAUUUCGGGAUCAGAUUGUCGGUCGUGCCUCGGUACGCACUGGCAUUAUUGGUUCCUACCUUCUGAAGAACCGCGAUGUCAUUAAUUUGGUGUCGUGGGGAAUCAGGACUGUUACUUUGAAAAAAUUAGAGUGUUUAAAGCAGGCGCACGCUUGAAUACAUUAGCAUGGAAUAAUGAAAUAGGACGUUUGAUUCUAUUUUGUUGGUUUCUAGGAUCGACGUAAUGAUUAAUAGGGAUAGUUGGGGGCAUUAGUAUUCAAUUGUCAGAGGUGAAAUUCUUGGAUUUAUUGAAGACUAACUACUGCGAAAGCAUUUGCCAAGGAUGUUUUCAUUAAUCAAGAACGAAAGUUAGGGGAUCGAAGACGAUCAGAUACCGUCGUAGUCUUAACCAUAAACUAUGCCGACUAGGGAUCGGAUGAUGUUAAUUUUUUAAUGACUCAUUCGGCGCCUUGCG
rnacentral:rRNA from 1 species